UGCCAGCCGCCGCGGUAAUACGGAGGGCCCAAGCGUUGUCCGGAUUUAUUGGGUUUAAAGGGUACGUAGGCGGGACUCUAAGUCAGUGGUGAAAGCCUCCAGCUUAACUGGAGAAUUGCCAUUGAAACUGAAGUUCUUGAGUAUGGAUGAGGUGGUUGGAAUAUAACAUGUAGCGGUGAAAUGCAUAGAUAUGUUAUAGAACACCAAUUGCGAAGGCAGAUCACUAAACCAUUACUGACACUCAGAGGCGAUAGCUAGGGUAGCAAAAGGGAUUAGAUA
rnacentral:rRNA from 1 species